GCAAUCCCCCCUCUGGCAGGAGGCUGCGGUCCAUCAGGAGCAAAACCUCACACCACAUAAAACAGCUCCUUCCUGCCUGCAGUAAGACUCACCAAAA